GGGAGAGGAAGAACUGCUCUCUUGAGAGAAAAAGACAAAGAAAUUAGAGAAGUGAAAGUGUGUUGCAGACUGCUGCUGAAUGAAGCCCAGGUUUUGUGAAGAAAGCAUGUACCUGGGACUGAAAGUGGAACUCCUUCUCUGAAAGCCCUCAUCCUCCACCAUGGACAA